rnacentral:rRNA from 1 species
CAGCUAAGUGGCGCACGGGUGAGUAAUAUAUAGGUAACGUGCCUUCAAGAAGGGGAUANCNAUUGGAAACGAUUGCUGAUACCCUAUAUGCCUUUAGGACUUAAGUCUGCAAGGGAAAUAUUUAUAGCUUGAAGAUCGGCCUGUACAGUAUCAGUUAGUUGGUGAGGUAAUGGCUCACCAAGACAAUGACGCUUAACUGGUUUGAGAGGAUGAUCAGUCACACUGGAACUGAGACACGGUCCAGACUCCUACGGGAGGCAGCAGUGGGGAAUAUUGCACAAUGGACGAAAGUCUGAUGCAGCAACGCCGCGUGGAGGAUGGCACAUUUCGGUGCGUAAACUCCUUUUAUAUAGGAAGAUAAUGGUCGGUACUAUAUGAAUAAGC